AGCAGCCGCGGUAACUCCAGCUCCAAUAGCGUAUAUUAAAGUUGUUGCAGUUAAAAAGCUCGUAGUUGAAUUUCGGGGUUAGUAGGUUGGCCAUGCCUCUGGUAUGUACUGGUCUCACUGAUUCCUCCUUCCUGAUGAGCCGUAAUGCCAUUAAUUUGGUGUUGCGGGGAAUUUGGACUGUUACUUCGAAAAAAUUAGAGUGUUUAAAGCAAGCUAACGCUUGAAUACAUUAGCAUGGAAUAAUGAAAUAGGACGUUCGAUCCUAUUUUGUUGGUUUCUAGGAUUGACGUAAUGAUUAAUAGGGAUAGUUGGGGGCAUUAGUAUUCAAUUGUCAGAGGUGAAAUUCUUGGAUUUAUUGAAGACUAACUACUGCGAAAGCAUUUGCCAAGGAUGUUUUCAUUAAUCAAGAACGAAAGUUAGGGGAUCGAAGACGAUCAGAUACCGUCGUAG
rnacentral:rRNA from 1 species